CCCUUAGAUGUUCUGGGCAGCACGCGCGCUACAAUGGUCUUCGCAAACGGAUGCAUUCUCGAAGGAGAAUGCCAAUCUUGGAAUCUAUGCCUUGGUCGGGACAGUUGCUUGCAAUUUUUCGACUCGAACCAGGAAUUCCUUGUAAUCGUGAUUCAUCACAUCACGAUGAAUACGUCCCUGCCCUUUGUACACACCGCCCGUCGCUCCUACCGAUCGAAGAGUUAGGUGAAUAGUUUUGAUCGAUAAGAUUUGACUAUGGUCAACUCUCGUUGUGAAAUUCUGUGAAUCUGACUGUUUAGAGGAAGGAAAAGUCGUAACA
rnacentral:rRNA from 1 species